AGCUUCAUCAGUGAGGCUCUGGCAGAUCGUUUGCAAGGGGGGCAGCAGGCUCAGAGCGCCCUAACGGUGCGGGUGGCAAAUGGAGGUGUGAUGCGCAGCGACAAGGAGCUGUCAGACUGUCAAUGGCAUACCCAAGGGGUGACCUUCACCACCAACCUCCGAGUACUUCCCCUGGGCAGUUAUGACAUCAUUCUGGGGAUCGACUGGUUGGAGCAGCAUAGUCCGAUGAAAGUGCACUGGAAGGAGAAGACCAUGAGUUUUGAUUAUGCCGGGAAGCGGGUACACUUGCAGGGGGCUCGAGCGGAUACUACUCAGUGCCAACAACUUUCCAGCAAGGAGUUGGACGCGCUGCUGCAGCGCGCCGGGGUCACGCGAGUGGUGCACUUGUGUGCCAUGGGGACGGAAGAGAUCAAGGCCACAGAACUACCAGUUCCUCCAGCUAUUUCCAACCUUCUGCAAGAGUACAUACACCUGUUUGCUGAGCCGAGCGGCUUGCCACCACGACGCGCCUUCGGCCACACUAUACCCCUGCUGCCUGGAGCGUGCCCGGUCAACAUCCGACUGUACCGCUACAGUUCGGCGCAGAAGGAUGAGAUUGAAAAGCAGGUGGCUGACAUGUUGGUGCAAGGAAUCAUCGUACCCAGCACAAGUCCAUUUGCAUCACCAGUCCUGCUAGUGUAG
rnacentral:rRNA from 1 species